rnacentral:rRNA from 1 species
AUUGAACGCUGGCGGCAGGCCUAACACAUGCAAGUCGAGCGAGUGGCGGACGGGUGAGUCAUGUCUGGGAAACUGCCUGAUGGAGGGGGAUAACUACUGGAAACGGUAGCUAAUACCGCAUACUAUCGGAUGUGCCCAUAUUGGAUUAGCUAGUAGGUGGGGUAAAGGCUCACCUAGGCGACGAUCCCUAGCUGUGCUGAGAGGAUGACCAGCCACACUGGAACUGAGAAACGGUCCAGACUCCUACGGGAGGCAGCAGUGGGGAAGAGUGCACAAUGGGCGCAAGCCGGAUGCAGCCAUGCCGCGUGUAUGAAGAAGGCCUUAGGGUUGUAAAGUACUUUCAGCGGGGAGGCGUUACCCGCAGAAGAAGCACCGGCUAACUCCGUGCCAGCAGCCGCGGUAAUUC